rnacentral:tRNA from 1 species
GAAUGUAGCUCAGUGGUAGAGCACUUACCUACUGUGUAUAAAGACCUGGGUUCAAUUCCCUGGAUUGCA